UCUAAUAAUUUCCUUAAUAAAAAAUACUUUUUUUAUUACACUAGAUAUCUACGGAAUUUAUUUAUAUAUCAAUUAUAAGGUGAUUUGUCCGUUAAUAAGUAGCAUUUGCGUAACUCAUAAUAAGUAGGUAUUUGUUUGGUGUCCUGGAUUAGAGACAAAAAAAAGGGGGGUGGCGUUUUCAGCAGGAUAAUGCAAUUCCAUACUUCUGCCAUAUAUUCAAGCUUGGAUGCAAGAAUAUUAACUGACAACAAUUCCAUGGCCAGCAGCUUCACCAGAUCUUAGUCCCAUUGAACAAUUAUGGGGAUUAAUGAAUAAAGAAGGUUUGAUUCCUUCGGUUUUACAGGCCUGGACCACCAUCACCGAGCAGUAUAGGAAUCACCUAGUGUCUGGUGUACCUGGUCGUUCAGUUAAGUGUUUAGAAUUAAAUGGAGGUUGUUGAAGUAAAUGAAAUGAAUUGUUGAUGAUAAAAAUAUGUACUAGAAAAUUAUAAUUGUGCUUUCUUUUCUCCAGAUACUUUCUAGACGGUGUAUACAAAUAGACUAUCCAGAGGACUGUGAUAAACCACCUGCAUCUGCUGAGCAAAAUUAAACAUUAUACAAAAACAGGAAUAUUCAUGCUAAUAAUUCCGAGUAUAAUAAUUAAAAACAUAAUAAAUCCAUUGUUUUU